AGACACGGCCCAGACUCCUACGGGAGGCAGCAGUGGGGAAUAUUGGACAAUGGGCGAAAGCCUGAUCCAGCAACGCCGCGUGAGGGAUGACGGCCUUCGGGUUGUAAACCUCUUUCAGCGGGGACGAAGCGAAAGUGACGGUACCCGCAGAAGAAGGACCGGCCAACUACGUGCCAGCAGCCGCGGUAAUACGUAGGGUCCGAGCGUUGUCCGGAAUUAUUGGGCGUAAAGGGCUCGUAGGCGGUCUGUCGCGUCGGGAGUGAAAACUCAGGGCUCAACCCUGAGCGUGCUUCCGAUACGGGCAGACUAGAGGUAUGCAGGGGAGAACGGAAUUCCUGGUGUAGCGGUGGAAUGCGCAGAUAUCAGGAGGAACACCGGUGGCGAAGGCGGUUCUCUGGGCAUUACCUGACGCUGAGGAGCGAAAGCAUGGGGAGCGAACAGGAUUAGAUACCCUGGUAGUCCAUGCCGUAAACGUUGGGCGCUAGGUGUGGGGACCUUCCACGGUCUCCGUGCCGCAGCUAACGCAUUAAGCGCCCCGCCUGGGGAGUACGGCCGCAAGGCUAAAACUCAAAGGAAUUGACGGGGGCCCGCACAAGCGGCGGAGCAUGCUGAUUAAUUCGAUGCAACGCGAAGAACCUUACCUGGGUUUGACAUAUACCGGAAAGCUGCAGAGAUGUAGCCCCCCUUGUGGUCGGUAUACAGGUGGUGCAUGGCUGUCGUCAGCUCGUGUCGUGAGAUGUUGGGUUAAGUCCCGCAACGAGCGCAACCCUCGUCCUAUGUUGCCAGCACGUCAUGGUGGGGACUCAUAGGAGACUGCCGGGGUCAACUCGGAGGAAGGUGGGGAUGACGUCAAGUCUUCAUGCCCCUUAUGUCCAGGGCUUCAAGCAUGCUACAAUGGCCGGUACAAAGGGCUGCGAAACCGUAAGGUGGAGCGAAUCCCAAAAAGCCGGUCUCAGUUCGGAUUGGGGUCUGCAACUCGACCCCAUGAAGUCGGAGUCGCUAGUAAUCGCAGAUCAGCAACGCUGCGGUGAAUACGUUCCCG
rnacentral:rRNA from 1 species